UCAUUUCAUCAAAGAUAUAUCAUCAAAUUUCAACGAAAAUUUUUUAAAAAAUAAAAUAAAAAUGGUUUGAAAUUAAAAGAUAAAAUUAAUUAUGUGAAUAUAAUAAAAUAGGGAGAUCACGCCGGUAAUUAAGUGGAAAAUAUAAAAUAGUUUACAAAGUUAUCAUUCAUAAAUGAGAUUAAAAAUAAAAAUUUAAAGAAUAAAAAGAAAUAAAAUUAUAAAAGGUAAACAUUAC
rnacentral:lncRNA from 1 species